rnacentral:tRNA from 1 species
AUCCUGCAGGAUAGCUCAGUCGCAACAGCAUGAGGCUCUUAAUCUCAGGGUUGUGGGUUUGAGCCCCACAUUGGACA